GAUGAACGCUGGCGGCGUGCCUAAUACAUGCAAGUCGAACGAGGUGCUUGAGUAGCAAUACGAAAGUAUCCUAGUGGCGAACGGGUGAGCAACGCGUUGGUGACCUGCCCCAAAGUGUGGGAUAACAGUCCGAAAGGAUUGCUAAUACCGCAUGUGGUCUCCAGAUUUAGGAACCGGUGACUAAAGGAGUAAUCCGCUUUGGGAGGGACCUGCGUCCCAUCAGCUAGUUGGUGAGGUAACGGCUCACCAAGGCAACGACGGGUAGGGGACCUGAGAGGGUGGCCCCCCACAAUGGAACUGAAACACGGUCCAUACACCUACGGGUGGCAGCAGUAGGGAAUAUUGCUCAAUGGGCGAAAGCCUGAAGCAGCAACGCCGCGUGCGCGAUGAAGGUCUUCGGAUCGUAAAGCGCUUUUCUGAGAGAUGAGAAAGGACAGUAUCUCAGGAAUAAGUCUCGGCUAACUACGUGCCAGCCGCCGCGGUAAGAC
rnacentral:rRNA from 1 species